GACGAACGCUGGCGGCGUGCUUAACACAUGCAAGUCACGGGGGCCCGCAAGGGUAACCGGCGAACGGGUGCGUAACACGUGAGCAAUCUGCCGUACACUGGGGGAUAGCCGGCCCAACGGCCGGGUAAUACCGCAUACGCUCCUUUGGCGGCAUCGCUGAGGGAGGAAACCUCCGGGGGUGUACGAGGAGCUCGCGGCCUAUCAGGUAGUUGGUGGGGUCACGGCCUACCAAGCCAUUGACGGGUAGCUGGUCUGAGAGGAUGGCCAGCCACAUUGGGACUGAGAUACGGCCCAGACUCCUACGGGAGGCAGCAUUGGGGAAUAUUGCGCAAUGGCCGCAAGGCUGACGCAGCGACGCCGCGUGGGGGAUGAAGCAUUUCGGUGUGUAAACCCCUGUUGCUCGGGACGAACAGCUCUUUUCGAGGAGCCUGACGGUACCGGGUGAGGAAGCACCGGCUAACUCCGUGCCAGCAGCCGCAGUAA
rnacentral:rRNA from 1 species